rnacentral:rRNA from 1 species
GAGCGGACAGAUGGGAGCUUGCUCCCUGAUGUUAGCGGCGGACGGGUGAGUAACACGUGGGUAACCUGCCUGUAAGACUGGGAUAACUCCGGGAAACCGGGGCUAAUACCGGAUGCUUGUUUGAACCGCAUGGUUCAAACAUAAAAGGUGGCUUCGGCUACCACUUACAGAUGGACCCGCGGCGCAUUAGCUAGUUGGUGAGGUAACGGCUCACCAAGGCAACGAUGCGUAGCCGACCUGAGAGGGUGAUCGGCCACACUGGGACUGAGACACGGCCCAGACUCCUACGGGAGGCAGCAGUAGGGAAUCUUCCGCAAUGGACGAAAGUCUGACGGAGCAACGCCGCGUGAGUGAUGAAGGUUUUCGGAUCGUAAAGCUCUGUUGUUAGGGAAGAACAAGUACCGUUCGAAUAGGGCGGUACCUUGACGGUACCUAACCAGAAAGCCACGGCUAACUACGUGCCAGCAGCCGCGGUAAUACGUAGGUGGCAAGCGUUGUCCGGAAUUAUUGGGCGUAAAGGGCUCGCAGGCGGUUCCUUAAGUCUGAUGUGAAAGCCCCCGGCUCAACCGGGGAGGGUCAUUGGAAACUGGGGAACUUGAGUGCAGAAGAGGAGAGUGGAAUUCCACGUGUAGCGGUGAAAUGCGUAGAGAUGUGGAGGAACACCAGUGGCGAAGGCGACUCUCUGGCUGUAACUGACGCUGAGGAGCGAAAGCGUGGGGAGCGAACAGGAUUAGAUACCCUGGUAGUCCACGCCGUAAACGAUGAGUGCUAAGUGUUAGGGGGUUUCCGCCCCUUAGUGCUGCAGCUAACGCAUUAAGCACUCCGCC